GUGAUUUUCUCUCCUCUGUGUUUAAUCUGGUCGAAUGGCCUUGUGAAAUGUAACCAAAAUUCUGGUUCUUGGAACGGUUAAGGUUUGGGCUCAAGAGAAAAACAGGGACAAGUCUUGUGUAUUUGAUCAACAAAGAGAUUGACGAAGAGCUUCUUCAGGAAGUGGUUAAUAUGGGAUUUGACAGAAAUCAAUUGGUUGAAUCUUUAUGCAACAGGAUCCAAAAUGAGAUGGGGCUGGUGAUGAUUUGUUUAAAGAGCUAUGGAGGCUGUGCAGGGCCAUUAAUGGAUGCCCCUCGUGUUCAAGACAGAGUUCUCUAUUUCCCUCAGGGUCACAUUGAAUUG